UCACUGGAAGAACAUAUAGCACAUCGUCGUGCAACAGAUGCAGAUGAAGGUGUUGGUCUUUGGUUGAAUGCCAGUUGUGUCAGCAAACUCUCAAGAGAAUCAAGCGCGCUUUCCAAUUUCCUGCCAACAACUGAUAAAGAAUGGGUCGGCUCAUGAAACUACGGCUGCUGUGUUUCCUGAGCAGGCGGAGAAGGCAUACAAGGAGUUUGGAAUGAUGGUUCAUGAUAUUGAUGCUCUGAAGUACCAUACCAUCCCAAAU
rnacentral:lncRNA from 1 species